UUAACUCAGAUUUGUAGGGAGUUGGAACGUUCGCCUACGUUUGCCGCUAGGGGCGCUAUUUCAACUGCAUACAGAGUUACUUUU
rnacentral:pre_miRNA from 1 species